UAUAAACAUUAACUAUAACAGAUAAACAACUCCCUACAGUUCAUGAUCGUCAUGCAAAAUAGCCUCAACCAGGGAAUAUGUAUGCACAAAGUCGUAUGCGUUUCUUUUUUUUUUUAACAUUUAUUUUUUGAGAGACAGAGCAUGAGCGGGGAGGGGACAGAGAGAGAGGGAGUCACAGAUUCCAAAGCAGGCUCCAGGCUCUGAGCUUGAUGUCAGCACAGAGCCCGACACGGGGCUCAAACUCACAAACUGUGAGAUCAUGACCUGAGCCGAAGUUGGACUCUUAACCGACUGAGCCACCCAGGUGCCCCAGUCGUAUGCGUUUCUUCCCAGACUUUAGCUGAGUUUAAAAAGCCAACAACAGAGGUAGAAGCCGCCUCACAGUUAGAUAAACGGAAAAGAUGAGAGGAAGGGAAGGGAAGGCUAGAGAAUAAAUCUGCCUAAAACUAAGCGGGUGCGGGAGGGUACAGGGGGACAGGGGUGGGGGUGCAGGGGGUAGAGCACAUUAGAAAGAAGAGAAAGGCCAGAAGCAAGAGAACUGGGCAUCACAGAAGAGCCAGGACAAACUCUGGAGAUUACAAAAACAAAAAAACCACAACAAACUAUGAACAAACUCACCUAUCAACGCCUCCCAGAAGAGAGCACAAAUCGGCGCUGAGCGUGGAGGGCAGCAUGUCAUAGCGCCGGUCUGCUAAAUAGUAAGUGGUGGCCCUGUGAACGACACACGUGUGGGUGCGUGACCUUCAGCAGCGAGAGGCAGAAGUGCUGACUGCAGGGGCCACGGGGAGGGAAAUGGCCAAAUCCUCAGUGCAAAUCCCCCAAGGCUUGCUUUUUCAUAAAGUGCAGCCGACUGGGUAAUAAAGCUAUUCCCAUGCCCCCACUUUUCUAAGGGGUACUGCCUCGGGCUGAAUGUUCUUCCACUGAUAGGAAAAGGAAAAAGUGGCAUGAAUCUUACUUAUCUAAGAAGAAUUGGAGUGUAAUGAUCCAGUAGAUCAUAUAAAAAGGUAUUCCUACCUGAAACAUUUAGCUCAUUGCAAUUUAGGAGGAAAGUGUGUGAAAGGUUCUGUUGAAAAAAAGGAAAGGUAAAUGGAUCAAGGUACUAUUUCUCUAAAGGGAAAGGGGAGUGGACCUCAAUUUUUCUCCCCCUACGAGGGAUCUGCAGAAUUGCACAGAAUUGUGAAAUGUUCGUUUUGAAAAUCUGGGAGUGGAGAGGUACGAAUAUGUUACAGCCACACACACAUAAUCAUAGUGUUCAUUUCAAACAGCAUUACCUUGUUCUGGCUUCGAUGUCAAUAUACGAAUUUGGUGCCACAAAGUGUGUCACAUCUGCAAUGUGGACCCCAAGUUCCAAGUGGCCAUUAUCUAAGGUUCUGACGGAGAGUGUGUCAUCCACAUCUUCACAGCCUUUCGGGUCAAUGCUGAAUACAAGAUGGGUUUUCCUCAAGUCUUGACGUUCUCGUUCCUCUUCAGGACUCACCUUCCAGGGAUUUCCUGGUGUGUUUACUGGCAUCUCACACAUCUGUCCAACAAGAGUCAGAUAUUCGGCAGUUCACACACCCCGAGUUUCCUAGGAGAUUCUGGGCUCUCGAAGAGUCUCACUGCCACCUCCUAGAAGUCCCAUUCAUUCCCUAUUACCUUUUGCAAUUAACCUGCAUUCGCUUCUUUGGAUCAAGAAUUAUUUAUCAGGUGCCUGAUGUGUGUCAGGAACUGUGCGAGGCUCUGGAAAGGGCAGGAGCCAAGAAGAAAGACACAGUCUCCUGCCCCUGCGGACCCUUACAGUCUGUCAGGAAAUGUGCCUGUUUCCGGCAGCUUCUUUAGUUAUGGAGGUCAGAUCGAGGAUAAACAGAGGCUUAUCAAGAGCACAACCUCUACCCAUUUUCAGAUGAUUCAUUUGUUUAAAUGCAGUUGAGCUUUUAAUUCAAUUCAAGCCCUGAAAAAAAAGAAUCAACGUGUCCCAAAUACUAAAAGCCUAUUCCUUAAAGAUAAUUUAAGCAGGACCAAUCUAGGGCAUUGUCUCUCCAUUAUUACUUGUUUAGGCCAUCAAUUUGCAGUUAAGUAGGCUAAAUGAGAAGAGAAAAUUCUAGUCCCAUGAAGUCUAACCCAUGCUUUAUUUUAUUCUAACAUUUUCACUAAGAGCUGUCAAAGCAAGUCAACAAAUAAUUUCAAGAAACUAAUGUUAAACAUAAAAAUUUAAUAAUGUAAAAUAUUCCAAGAUAUUUUACUAUUAUAGCUACUGUUCUGUCAAAAACUGUAAUGAAAAUAAGAACACCCAUCCACUCUUGAUGGCAAUGCAAACUGGUCCAAUUUUUCUCGAGAACGAUCUACUGAUACAUAAGAAAAGCCACUUAAAUUUUUAAUGCCCUUUGACUUGAUAAUCUUACUUUAAGGAUUACGUCUCAAGAAAAAUGAUGAAAAAGAAAAAAAAAAGAGCAAUGUUGGUAAAAUUGUUUGAAGUAGAGUUUUUUUUUUUUAUACUACUGAAAAAUUAAACAGCCCAAGGCCCAGCAAUUGAGGAAGACUUAAACAAACCAGAGUACAUCAAUACACAAUCAAGUGCCAUAACCUUUACUAAGAAGUAGCUAUGGCAAUACACAGAAAUAAUUUUAAGUGAAAGACACAGAACAGAAAAUAGCAUGGACACACUAUGAAUAUAGUUAUGCAAAAAUAAUAAACAAGAUUUAUGAGGAUUUUAUGAGAUCAUAAAGUGAUGGAAAUAGCUAAUGUUUAAUGUUUAUUGAAUUUGUGUUUUCUGCCAAGGUUACAGAAACUGUUUCAGGAGCAUGCUUUUUUGACCCACGGGUCAGAAAUGUAUAGAACACAAGAAGCCGCCUCCCGCAGCUCUGUGCAGGUCUCUGGUUGAAUGAUUAGGACAGGCAGUGGAGCCCAGUAGGAUCUGUAACUGGGGACCCUCGUGACUGCUGGGGAUAGAUACAUACUGACAAUAUGAUACUGACAUACCAUUUUUAAGCACAGUUGGAAAAUGUAAAACUUUGAGAGCUGUGAGGCCCUAGGAAAUGAACUAUGCGCUUGAAACUGACUUCAGUCUGGUCCAAACACAGAAUACAGAAGAGUGAGAUUAUUAUCUGUGGCUUUCGUGAGUGGUUACCCAGUACAGCGAUUUUUCUUCUUAAUGACCAAACAACGAACGAAUGCAAAAAGAAACUGUAUGGAAUGUCUUUCACCAGACCAAAGGACUCGGGGAAACCUGACCUGAGCUUCGGAGAAAGGGACCACCGAAAUACUGUUUUCCACCAAGAUGGUUGCAAUUUCCCCUUCCAGAUCCCCGAUUCUUCCUAACACACGCACAAAAUGUCCAUUUGGAUACACGGAUGUUGACUCCCAGGAGUCGAUGCGCACAACUACCCUGAAGUCCUGCAUGAAAAAGAGAAAAAAAAUCCACUAGCCCAGCAGCGGGAAUUAAGUGGGUCAAUGAGAAGCACCAAACAAACAAGAGAUAAACAGCACCCAGCUCCAAAAAGAGUGGCCGAUUUAACAGUGGGUUUUGUGUUUUGUUUUCCUUCUUGCUGUUUUACUAAAUUGCCAGAUGGUUAUGUAAAUGCCUGGCCCGAUGCUUUGGAGGAAGGCAAUACCUCUCUCCAUCAAAUAAGUAGGCUGGAAAUUUUAUUCUGUUAAUGAAAGCCAAUUGUGGGGUGCCUGGGUGGCUCAGACACGAGUCUGACUCUUGGUUUUGACUUAGGUCAUGAUCUCACAGUUCGUCGGAUCGAGCCCCAUGUUGGGCUCUGCACUGGCAGUGAGGAGCCUGCUUGGGAUUCUCUCUCUCUGCCCCUCCCCUGCUCUCAUGCAGGCUCUCUCAAAAUAUAAUAAAUAAACUUUAAUUUUUUUUUCAACGUUUUUUAUUUAUUUUUGGGACAGAGAGAGACAGAGCAUGAACGGGGGGGGGGCAGAGAGAGAGGGAGACACAGAAUCGGAAACAGGCUCCAGGCUCCGAGCCAUCAGCCCAGAGCCUGACGCGGGGCUCGAACUCACGGACCGCGAGAUCGUGACCUGGCUGAAGUCGGACGCUGAACCGACUGCGCCACCCAGGUGCCCCAAUAAAUAAACUUUAAAAAAAAAAAAAGAAAGCCAAUUGUAACACAUUCUAGUCAACAUUCACAACACAGAGGAAAACCUCACUGUGCAUAGUGCAAAUUCAAUUUCAAAACAAAAUCUCAAUUGUGGGAGCAUGGGAGAUACAUCCUACUUUCUUUGAAGUUACUCUCUAAUGUUUAAAGACAUCCGUUAGUGGGGAAGGAGGUAUCAGCGUGAACUGAACCCCACAAGCUCCCAAAUUUCAGCAAACCCACGGGUCUGGAAAGCAGUGGUUACGCUUGGCCUCAGCCCGCGGAAGGCUUUAAGAGAUGCAAAAGGUAUACGACGACCCAGUUACUGGUUGGGGACGUCCUGCUUCGGUGUCUCAUUUACAAACUGCACAUAUCAAAUUGCAGAUAUCAAAUUGGAUGAUGCCUAUACGCUUCGCCACAGUACAGGCUAAUUUCUAACUUUCUCGUGUAUGUCUUCUCCCCAGUGCUAUAUUCCUUUAUGGAUAAUCGAUUCGGUGAAGUAUCACUAUAUCAUCCCUCCAGGGCAGAGUGAUCGUAUUUCUAUAUCACUUGCUGGAAGAAAGCUUGUUAGUGUUGGCAAAGCAUAUCUAUUGAAAGUUUCUGUGUUGGACAGCUGGAUAAUGUAUGCACUCUGUAGCUGUCCUACACAGCUCUUUCUAGGGCAGUUUCUCUCUGGCCUUCAUUUAUUAACCAAGGACUAUUUAACAGAUGGUUCUAUAUAUUUAGAAUUAAAAAAAAAAACCUGGAUCUCGAAAUGCUAGACGCCACCAAUAAUUUAUCCCUUCUUAUGCAAAGGAAUUGACAGGGUUUCCUGGGAUAGCUCAAAAGCUGGCAAACACAAAAGCUGGGGAACAGGAGAAGUACAAUGUCAGCUACCUGGAGGGUUUCUGCUUGCUGAGUGCUAAUUCGGAUCUUGGGGAUUCUGUAAUCCCAAGGCGUAACUAGGAUUUUCUGAGCAUUUUUGCCCUGAGAUUGGACCUCUUCUUUGGAUGGAAAUGUCACCACGUAAUCCCGCCAGUUCUUCUGAAGGAUGCCCACCACUCUGCCUUUGGGAAAACAAAACAAAAGAAGGCCUUAACUGGUGAGAUGUCACCUAUCUAGGCGCUGACUAGCUCGGCAGUGAGGAAGAAAACAGAAAACACAAUGACCCGUUCGUAUCAAGCACACACCCACACAAGUCGAGAAAUGCUUAAACGUUCGCCUUAAGAUGCCUGCUAAUUUUUUUGAAAGAUCACUUUUUUUUAUAACAUUGUCAGGAUGCCCUCCCUACUGUGGGGUCCAAUGUGACAUUUAGAAUCCAUCAGUCCCACUUUCUCCUUUGCCCUUCCCUUAUCAACCUCAAGUUUAGGUAUGUUGGGAAAAGCCAGUAAUCUUCACUUUUUUCAACUCACGCCCUCUCCUGUGCGUUUUCCCUUUCUUGCAUUUUCCCACCAGCCAACAUCAUUUGGGCCAACCUUAUAUACAGAAAAGUAUUCUAAUCAUAAGCCUGAUACGUAGCACUUUCAAUCAUCAUGGACUACGGUCAAGAAAAAACAAAUUUUAAUAGUCAAAAGUGCUAUCUUUCCACAAAUAUUUAUUGAGCCCCUACCAGGUAUGAGGCCCUGUUCUAGGUGCAGGGAAUGUAGCAGCAUCAGAACAAAGUCCUUGAUUUUCUGCAGUGGACACUCUAGUCUGGGUGUCUGUGGGGGUGGGAAACAGACAAGAAGAAGUAAAUACAGGGAAGGGAAUGAUGUUUGCUCAGAAAGAUAUCAAGUAGGGUAAGGUGACCAACAGUAAUACAGGGUCAGCAGUGGCCACUAUUUUAAAUAAAGUGACAUCUGAGCAGAGACUUGAAGUGAGGGAGGUUGGCCUGAGGAGGUUUGGGGAAAGCUCAUUUCCAGUGGUACGAAGCUGGUCAAUGUGGCUGGAACAGAGUGAUGAUGAGGACAGUGACACAAGGCAGCCCAAGCUGGCAGGACCCUGUAGGCCACGGUAUGGCCUUUGGAUUUCAUUUUGAGAGAAACAGGAAAUGGCCACUGGAGAGCUUUGAGCAGAGACACACAGGCCCCAAAGACUUUUAAAAGGAUCUUUGUGGGGGUGCCUGGGUGGCUCAGUUGUUUAAGCAUCCGACUUCCGCUCAUGAUCUCAUGGUUCAUGGGUUCAAGCCCCGCGUCGGGCUGUGUGCUGACAGUUCAGAGCCUGGAGCCUGCUUUGGAUUCUGUGUCUCCCUCUCUCUCUGUCCCUUCCCCUCUCGCACUUUCUCUCUCACUCGCUCUCUCAAAAACAAACAUUAAAAAUAAUAAUAAUAAUAAUAAUAAUAAUAAUAAUAAAUAUUUAAGUAAAAGGAUCCCCGUGGCUGGCUCCUGUAUGGAGAAAAGGCCAUUUGAGCACCAGGGUGGGGGCAGGGAGACCAGUGAGGAGGCGGCUGGGAAAAUCGCGUCAAGCAGUUCUGGCGGCCCAGUUAGGGGAGAAGAGGUGGAGUCUGGGAGUAGAGCUGCCAGGACUUGCUGACGUGUGAAAGAAAAACUCGAGGGUAAUCCCAGGACCUCUGGGUUGACCAAGUGUAGAAUGAAACUGCCGUUUGCGGAGACGGGAACACUCGGGGAGGAGCAAGUUUGGGGGCAGAAAUCAGGAGUCUGUUACUAGGCGCGUUACAUGUGAGAUGCCCAUCGGACACCAGGGGAAGAUGCCAAACAGACAACACUGGAGGCUGAGAAGGGGGUCUGGUCUCUAGGCUGGAAAAAUAAAGCUAGAGGAGUGAAGGAGAUCCCCAGGGAGAGGGGGCGGAUGGAGAUUCAGCGAGGAGCCCAGAGGUCGUAAGACGGAAAAGCUCCAGCAAAAGGACCAAGGAGGAGUGGCCAGCAGGAGAGGAGAAGAACCUAGAAGCCAAGGAUGAGGCAGUGAUCUGUUGGCCAAAUGCUGCUGACGGUUACGGGUGCCGAGGGCUGUUGGCAAUGAGGUCACUGGUGUCCUUGACCAGAGGUCAAGGUUUUUUGGGGGGUGGGGGCCCCUGAAUGUAGCGGCUUCAGGAGAGAACGGGUGAAGAGGAAGCAGAGAGAACGCAGGACUAAGGGUUUCACUGAGUCUUGCCAUAAACUGAAGCAGAGAAAAGGGCGGUAGCUGGAGGGGAUCCGGACUUGAGAGGAUUUUUGGUUUUGUUCUGUUCUAAGAGAUAGUACAGCAUAUUUGGAUGCCGAAGAGAAUAAAAUAAAUCUGCAGAGAGGGGAAACUGGUACUGGGGGGGAAAGAAACUAUCUUGUACCAUAGUAACUGCACUAUCUCUGGAACGAUAAAUGUUCCGCAGAAAGAAUGGAUAACUGGGAGACCAGCCGGUGGGCUCACCUGUGGGCAUGGGCUCGCUCGGGGGGUCUCCCGAGGCCUUGUCAUCACUGUCAUUCUCACACAGGGCCGUGGUUCUUCCUUUCCAUUCAUUUUUAGGGAGCAGUUCUACGACUACCACGUCUCCAUGAAUUGAGCGGUUUCGAGCCUUCAUGCCGUGGAUUAGGAUGUCACUGGCCAAACCUGUGAUUGGGCGGGGACACAGAAACCCCAUGAAGCCACAGGGGAGGCCACACCCGUGACACCUUCCAAACAAGGAAGCGUUCCUGCAAAUCCAAGCUUUCUCCU
rnacentral:lncRNA from 1 species